rnacentral:rRNA from 1 species
GACGAACGCUGGCGGCGUGCUUAACACAUGCAAGUCGAACGGAAAGGCCCUGCUUUUGUGGGGUGCUCGAGUGGCGAACGGGUGAGUAACACGUGAUUAACCUGCCCUUGACUUUGGGAUAACUUCAGGAAACUGGGGCUAAUACCGGAUAGGAGCUCCUGCUGCAUGGUGGGGGUUGGAAAGUUUCGGCGGUUGGGGAUGGACUCGCGGCUUAUCAGCUUGUUGGUGGGGUAGUGGCUUACCAAGGCUUUGACGGGUAGCCGGCCUGAGAGGGUGACCGGCCAAAUGGGGACUGAGAUACGGCCCAGACUCCUACGGGAGGCAGCAGUGGGGAAUAUUGCACAAUGGGCGGAAGCCUGAUGCAGCAACGCCGCGUGCGGGAUGAAGGCCUUCGGGUUGUAAACCGCUUUCGCCUGUGACGAAGCGUGAGUGACGGUAAUGGGUAAAGAAGCACCGGCUAACUACGUG